rnacentral:rRNA from 1 species
GAUGAACGCUGGCGGCGUGCCUAAUACAUGCAAGUCGAGCGAACGGACGAGAAGCUUGCUUCUCUGAUGUUAGCGGCGGACGGGUAAGUAACACGUGGAUAACCUACCUAUAAGACUGGGAUAACUUCGGGAAACCGGAGCUAAUACCGGAUAAUAUUUUGAACCGCAUGGUUCAAAAGUGAAAGACGGUCUUGCUGUCACUUAUAGCUGGAUCCGCGCUGCAUUAGCUAGUUGGUAAGGUAACGGCUUACCAAGGCAACGAUGCAUAGCCGACCUGAGAGGGUGAUCGGCCACACUGGAACUGAGACACGGUCCAGACUCCUACGGGAGGCAGCAGUAGGGAAUCUUCCGCAAUGGGCGAAAGCCUGACGGAGCAACGCCGCGUGAGUGAUGAAGGUCUUCGGAUCGUAAAACUCUGUUAUUAGGGAAGAACAUAUGUGUAAGUAACUGUGCACAUCUUGACGGUACCUAAUCAGAAAGCCACGGCUAACUACGUG